rnacentral:rRNA from 1 species
GACGAACGCUGGCGGCGUGCCUAACACAUGCAAGUCGAACGGAGAUAUUUUUCGGAAUAUCUUAGUGGCGAACGGGUGAGUAACGCGUGGGUAACCUGCCCUUAUAACGGGGAUAACUUGCCGAAAGGUGAGCUAAUACCGGAUAACCUAUUGAGAUUGCAUGAUCUUGAUAGCAAAGGUGGCCUUUUUAAAUGCUACCGUAUAAGGAUGGACCCGCGUCUGAUUUGCUGGUUGGUGAGGUAACGGCUCACCAAGGCGACGAUCAGUAGCCGGCCUGGGAGGGUGAACGGCCACACUGGGACUGAGACACGGCCCAGACUCCUACGGGAGGCAGCAGUGGGGAAUCUUCCGCAAUGGACGAAAGUCUGACGGAGCAACGCCGCGUGAGUGACGAAGGUUUUCGGAUUGUAAAACUCUGUCUUUUGGGACGAACGGUCCGUGUGUGAAUAAUGCAUGGAAUUGACGGUACCAAAGGAGGAAGCCCCGGCUAACUACGUGCCAGCAGCCGCCGUAACAC